rnacentral:lncRNA from 1 species
GGGUGCAGAAGCAGAAGUUGCUGCAAACUCUGAGCUCUUGUACCCCAAGAGAAAGAAGAAAAUGUCCAUUUCCAACUCAGCUAUCCAACAUCUGCUGACUCCAUGCUUUGUACAUCUGCCAAAUUAAUCUUCCUAAAUAGAACCUGCAUUGUGUCAGUCUGUAUUGGAACACUCCCAAGUCACUGCAAUGUCCAUAAUAAAACAAAAUUCAAGAUCUGCCGCAAGAUUGGAGUGCAGUGGUGUGAUCAUAGCUCAGUACAGCUUCGAACUCCUUGGCUCAACUGACCCUUCCACCUCACCCUUCCUAGCAGCUUGGACUACAGGCAUGUACCACAACACCCAGCUAAUUUUUUCAGAAAAUUAUUUUUUUGUAGAGAUGAGGUCUCACUGUGUUGCCCAGGCUGGUCUCCAAUUCUCAGCCUCAAGCGAUCUUCCCACCUUGGACUCCCAGAGUGCUGGGAUUACAGGCAUGAACCACUGUGCCUGGCCUAUUAUGUUUAAUGAUGGCUUUCAAAGAGCAAAAUUUUAAUUUAUCAGUAUUUUACUAACAGUUUGUACUUUUUACAUGCUAGCUAAGAAAUCUUUGCCUACCCCAAAAUAACAAAGAUUUUCUCUUAUUAUAUUGUAGAAAUGUUAUAGCAUUUGCUUUUAUGUUUAGGCCUUUAAUUCAUUUUGAGUUAAUUUUUUUCUAUGAUCUCAGAGUUUAUGUCUUUCCAUAUUGAUAUCCAGUUCUUUCAGCAUUAUUUGCUGGACAACCUGUCCUUUCCCCAUUGAAAAAUGUUUGAUUCUAUUUGUGAACUGACCAUUGUUUCCCGUUGUUCUAUAAGUCUAUCUUUAUGCCAGUACUGUACAAUAAUCUUGAUCAUUGUAGGUUUAUAGUGAGACCAAGUAGAGUCCUCUGGCUUUUUUAUUUCAAAAAUGGUUUGCCUAGUCUAUGUCCUUUGCACUUCCAUAUAAAUUUUGGUUUCAGGUUGUCAAUUUCUAUAAAGGCACUUAUUGGAAUUUGGCUUUAAUGAUAUUUAAUCUAUAGAUAAAUAUACAAAGAAUGUAUGUCAUAACAAUCUUAAAUUUUCAAAUUGCUGAACAUGAUGAAUCUCUCUAUUUAGGUGUUCUAUAAGUUAUCUCAGAAAUGUUCUGUGGUUUUCAAUGAAUAAGGCUUGAAAAUAUUUUGCUAAAGUUAUCCCUAAGUAUUUCUUUC